rnacentral:rRNA from 1 species
UGGGGAAUCUUGGACAAUGGGGGCAACCCUGAUCCAGCGACGCCGCGUGGGUGAUGAAGGCCUUAGGGUUGUAAACCCCUUUCACCGGGGAGGAUGAUGACGUUACCCGGAGAAGAAGCACCGGCUAACUCCGUGCCAGCAGCCGCGGUAAGACGGAGGGUGCUAGCGUUGUUCGGAAUCACUGGGCGUAAAGGGCGCGUAGGCGGCUUCGUCAGUCAGAUGUGAAAGCCCGGGGCUCAACCCCGGAACGGCAUUUGAUACUGCGGAGCUGGAGGUCGAGAGAGGAGAGUGGAAUACCCAGUGUAGAGGUGAAAUUCGUAGAUAUUGGGUGGAACACCGGUGGCGAAAGCGGCUCUCUGGCUCGAACCUGACGCUGAGGCGCGAAAGCGUGGGGAGCAAACAGGAUUAGAUACCCCCGUAGUCC